CUGGGGCUGCCCUCGGGUCCGUGCAGGGGUGGGUAAAGUGCUGAGAGGGGUCGCUACCCUCCUGUUUUGCCCCCGUGGGAAAGGGUUAAAAUGUCUGGCCAGCCCUUGUGGCUGAGCAUGUAUACGUGUUAAUGGUCUGGCGUGGUGCCUGGUGGCGACCUGGAAAAGAAGCAACUUAGAACAUCUCAUGGUGUUGGGAGUGUGACCCUUUGGUCCUUGAGCUGCUUUCUGUACUCGUCCGGUGCUGAUGUGAAGCGUGGCCCGGUUGUUUCAGCAGUGGGUUUUCUUCUCUUCCUUGAAGGAUUAAUCCGUACCUGGGGAAUUCAAAAUAACAGCAUCCGUUUUGUAGCCUUCCUAUUUCACAUUUCAUCUUGCUUUGAGUUUCUCAGUUUUGAGAAUUAUUUAAAGUAAAACCUAUAAAAUGUAGCGGAUGCACAUGCAUUUUAGCAACUCUUUGCUGUCCUCAGGCUUGCUGUUUCUUCAUCAUUUGGUGUCAUAGUUGCUGUCUAGUUAAGAUCUGAUCAGGUUUGAAAACCGUGCAUUUUGUUGUGAAAAUAUUUAUUGUUUUUAAAUUGAACAUCUCAGAAGUUUCUGAGAAUGCUAUGGGUCUUUCAGCUAUUCAUUUUUUCCUUUUCAGUUUAUGAUUACAGGUGUACAGCUCAUGUUCUUCACCUUUGCUAAAGCUAAAAAGAAGGUUAUAAGCAAUUGACCAGUAUUUUCACUCUGUAUACAUAUUAAUGCAAAUUAUCUCUUCCUAGCUGUGGAAUUUUUCUUACAGGACUUUUUUGUCAUUUGGGCUACUUUCUCUGAUGUAGUAGAGAACAUUUUAAAUUGAAGGCUUGGUUUAAGGAAAGUCAGGUAUUCCACUGUUUUCAUUUUGCAAUAUCAUCUGCUGAUCUGAUAUAUUGCUGUAGUAUAUAAAAUACAUGUGUUUGUAGAACUGCA